AGGAUGAACGCUGGCGGCGUGCUUAACACAUGCAAGUCACGGGGGUUUGAGGCGCAAGCCUUGAGCAACCGGCGAACGGGUGCGUAACACGUGAGCAACCUACCGAAAUGAGGGGGAUAGCCGGCCUAACGGCCGGGUAAUACCGCAUAAGCUCAGGACCAGGCAUUUGGAUCUGAGGAAACCUCCGGGGCGUUUCGAGGGGCUCGCGGCCUAUCAGCUAGUUGGCGAGGCAAUGGCUCACCAAGGCGACGACGGGUAGCUGGUCUGAGAGGAUGGCCAGGCCACAGUUGGGACUGGAGACUACCGGACCCAGACUCCGUACGGGAGGCAGCGAGUGGGGAAUCUUGCGCAAGUCGGCCUAACGGCUAGACCGCGAAGCCGACGCCGGCGUAGGAGGGACUGACGUCGUCGUUCCGGAGUUGUUAAACC
rnacentral:rRNA from 1 species